AAUAGGGUCAAUACCUACCCACAAAGCUGCGGACUACCUAGCGAGUUUACCGGGCUCCGCCUCAAAGAGCAGGAUUAGGAUCGGGGUAGUUUUUAACCAAUAGAUCUGACACUCCCUGUCGACUCACCCAAGGUGGGAUACGUCAUUAGAUGAUUUAUCAACCUUAAAAAUGUGAGGUAUUUCUAUGAUUUGAGUUUAAAUCGAAACUUAUUUGACAAUCGUAACUGUAUUGCACAUUUCUCUACAACACAUUCUUAUAUUCUUUCACUAGUCAACUUUAGUUGACCUAAUAAGGAAUGAAAUCAANAUGGAAUAAUAGAAUAUGAUCUCGGUUCUAUUUUGUUGGUUUUCAGAACUCCGAGGUAAUGAUUAAUAGGGAUAACUGGGGCAUUCGUAUUGCGACGUUAGAGGUGAAAUUCUUGGAUCGUCGCAAGACGAACAUCAGCGAAAGCAUUUGCCAAAGGUGUUUUCAUCAAUUCAAGAACGAAAGUUAGAGGUUCGAAGGCGAUUAGAUACCGCCCUAGUUCUAACCGUAAAUAUGUCAUCUAGCGAUCCGCCGACGUUACUACAAUGGCUCGGCGGCAGCUCCGGGAACCAAAGAUUUUGGACUCCGGGGGAGUAUGGUUGCAAGCUGAAACUUAAAGGAAUUGACGGAAGGGCACACCAGGAGUGGAGCCUGCGCUUAAUUUGACUCAACACGGGAAAUCUCACAGGCCCGGACACCGGAAGGAUUGACAGAUUAACAGCUCUUUCUUGAUUCGGUGGGUGGUGGUGCAUGGCCGUUCUAGUUGGUGGAGCGAUUUGUCUGGUUAAUUCCGGUAACGAACGAGACUCUAGCCUGCUAAAUAGGCGUCGUCAUUUAGGUGUGCGUGCUCGUCACGCAACUCACUGGCGACGUAUUAAAAUUCUUCUUAGAGGGACCGCGCUUCGAGCCGCACGAGAUUGAGCAAUAACAGGUCUGUGAUGCCCUUAGAUGUCCUGGGCCGCACGCGCGCUACACUGAAGGAAUCAGCAUGUUCUCCCUGGCCUAGAGGCCCGGGCAACCCGCUGAAACUCCUUCGUGCUGGGAUUGGGGUUUGCAAUUAUCCCCAUAAACGAGGAAUUCCUAGUAAGCGCGAGUCAUAAGCUCGCGUUGAUUACGUCCCUGCCCUUUGUACACACCGCCCGUCGCUACUACCGAUUGAAUGAUUUAGUGAGGUCUUCGGACCGACACGCGGUGGCUUCACGGCCGUCGGCGUUGCUGGGAAGUUGACCAACUUGAUCAUUAGAGGAAGUAAAAGUCGUAACAAGGUUUCCGUAGGGAACCUGCGGAAG
rnacentral:rRNA from 1 species